UCUAUAUAUGAAUUGAAAAGAAAACCAACCCAAUUUGGAACCUUUGGACCCAAACCAUACCAAAACUAAACUAGAAACAAAACGGUUUACAUGUGCCAGAAAGGAAAGUAGUGUGGUAAGUUUAGAUCAAGAAUUGAGAUAUUCCAAAGCUACAAACGGGCUUAAUGACACGCAUCAUAUAUAUAUCUAUAUAUCUAUAUCUAUAUAAUAAGGUAAGAAGUUUUUUGAAAAUGUCUUAAAAUGUAUGUGCGAUACAUUUUAAUCCAAUGGCUGAGAUAAUCCCAAUCAAUAUCCAACGGUUGUCAUCAAUUUUUUUACCGCCCAAACAAUUUCUGCUCUCUCUCUCACGUCUGCCUAAACACGCCUCUCCCUUACCCUUCCCUCUCUCAUCCAACGGUUCUUCUUCUUUCCUACCCUCCAUAUUCGCUAGCUCCCGACGCUGCUCUCCAGUCCUUGAUAUCUACCUCUCUCCUUCUCUCUCUGUCGGGUUGUGAGGUUUUUGUCUGAUAGAUUUCUUGCUGGUUCUGUUUGUGCAAAUGAUAGUGUUGCUUAUUCUUCCGAUUAAAUCGCCGACAACGGGGAGCUCACGAUCGUCGGACUGGAAAUCGACCUCGAAGAUCUCGAGAUUCACCGACGAAGGCCAUCGUCCUCGCCGCCAUGUAUGGGGGGGUCCGGUGCGAACGCCAUCGACGCCGAUCUGUUAACCCUCUUCACACACGCCAUAACCACCACGACCAAAACUGAUAGGUGUUGGAGGCUAUUCAUAUUUGUAUGAGCCACUUUGGUGGGCUGGCAUGAUAACAAGUUAAGAUUGCAAUGAUUGGGAUCAUGGCUGGUGGUGAAGGACUUGAUUUUUCAUCAGUUGCCUCAGAACCCAUCUCAUAUGUCUCAGGUGUAAUUAAUUUGCAUAUCCUUGAGCAUUACUGAAUCUUCUCUUUA